rnacentral:rRNA from 1 species
UACGGAGGGGACUAGCGUUGUUCGGAAUUACUGGGCGUAAAGCGCACGUAGGCGGAUUUGUAAGUCAGGGGUGAAAUCCCGGGGCUCAACCUCGGAACUGCCUUUGAUACUGCAAAUCUCGAGUCCGGAAGAGGUGAGUGGAAUUCCUAGUGUAGAGGUAAAAUUCGUAGAUAUUAGGAAGAACACCAGUGGCGAAGGCGGCUCACUGGUCCGGUACUGACGCUGAGACGCGAAAGCGUGGGGAGCGAAACAGGGAUUGAGAUACCCGUG